AUAUGUGUGUGUGUGUGUGUGUAUGUGUGUAUACAUGUGUAUGUAUGUAUAUAAAUAUAUAUAGACACACACACACACACACACUACCCAAAAGUAUGUAAUAAAUUUUGUAUGACGAAACAUCUGUUGUUGCCUCCAGGUUUCCAAACUGUCAAUGGCUGGGGGGCAAACACUAAAGAAAACAGUUUGGAGGAUCUGUGGAAAGGUGUUUGCUCCCCAGUUGGCAGUUCAUUUAAACUGGUGUGGCAGAGGGGACAAAACACCAAUGAGGAAUACAAACAUCAUAGAUGUGAUUAUCCAGUCUGCAUUACAAAACCCACUGGUGUCUAGUCCAAAUGAGGCUGAAGCUGAAAAAACCAUCAAAGAGUGGCUCAGACUGUCUCGUGACAGGCUGACCAGGCGUGUCCGAUAGUCCUUUUCUUUCAGUAUUUUUAUUUUUAUGUAUUUUUUUUUUCCCCAACGUGUGCAUUUUAUAUUUUGUUUAUUUAAUAAAAACUCUUAAUGAA